rnacentral:rRNA from 1 species
AUACAGAGGUCUCAAGCGUUGUUCGGAUUCAUUGGGCGUAAAGGGUGCGUAGGCGGCGCGGUAAGUCGGGUGUGAAAUUUCGAGGCUUAACUUCGAAACUGCAUUCGAUACUGCCGUGCUUGAGGACUGGAGAGGAGACUGGAAUUCACGGUGUAGCAGUGAAAUGCGUAGAUAUCGUGAGGAAGACCAGUUGCGAAGGCGGAUCUCUGGACAGUUCCUGACACUGAGGCACGAAGGCCAGGGGAGCAAACGG